GAAAGGAAAGGAAAAGAAAAGGGAAAAACACUAAUAAAAUGCAAUUUGAUUUAAAACACUAUGGUUAUUUUGCUGUAUUAUACAAUAUAAUUAUGAACAAAUCCAACUUGUAAAUUAAAAUGAGUAGUAUUGCUUUGGUUAUAUCCAAUCUUUAUAGAAAAGGUGAUAAAAUAACUUCCAAACCCAAUGAUUUUAACGUAAAUAAGUUUUAUUGAACUCUUUUAUCUUUGUGAGUAUGUGCUGUUAAUGUAAUGCAUUUUUACAUACUGAUAAUGUAUGCUGCUGUGUUUGGUGUGUUAUUCUGAAUAACAGUAGCCUUGGGAUCUGCCACGCAUGUAGGCUGGAAAUACAUCCUUGUGGGUGAUACGCUUAUGAAGCACCCAGGUAUUCAGUUAUUCUCAGAUAAUCACUGAAUUCCACAUGUGGAGGGCAUCACUGUGCAUGGAUCGCUAGGCUACCAAUAAAUAAUGCACCUGACCUAAGCAUUCUCUGGCUUUUCCAGGUGAGAAAGCACCUGGCCUGAAGAACACUGAACAUUUCAUGCCAAGCAAAAGUUUUAUCUGCUUACUGAGUUGUGAACUGUUUUGCUGGAAAGUUUAAUGGCCACAGGAGGUCGGGGUUUCUGAAGUUCCAAACAAUAUUACCCAGAUUGAGGAAUUUAGGCUAAAUCUUGGUAGAUCGAAUUGUUUUUUUGUGUAUCUUUGAAACAUGAUUCAAGAAAGACUGUGGAUGGGCCCGUGCCAUAAUGCUGGCCAGUGACCACAAGCCCUUCCAGGCAAUCCCAAGCAUGUUCAUCCUUCAGCAUCUUCAUUUAUUUACCACUGGCGAAGGUUGUCAGCCUAAGGGUAAAAGAUAUGCCAAAGAAUGUUUGCUUUAUUACUACCCCAGUACACAUAGCAAUUUGUUAAUUUACUUAUUUACUAAUGUAGAACUGGCUUUAGGACGUGGUAUUGCAAAGAUCCUGCUGCCAGGAAAGCACAUGCACAAAAACUUAAAAUUAAAAAGUUAAAAAAACUUUGAAAUUCUUACUACUGCUUUAAAGUCAGUGAAUGCAGCCCUUACUAAAAAGCAAACAUAUUUGUAAAGUUCAAGUGUUUCCUUAGGUAUAAAAUAAUACUUCUAUUGGCUUGAGUUAAAAUUUUUUGUUUGUUUGUUUGUUUGUUUUUGUUUUGUUUUGUUUUGUUUUGGUUAUUGAAAACAUCUCUGAGAGUUUUAUGUGAGAGACUUUUGCUUGACACUGUAUUGCAUUGCAUUGUGUAGUAUUCACCACAGUACUUUAAGCACUUUUUUUCUAUUUUGAUGUAACUUACUGCUUUUUUGUGUGUGUUUAUUUAUUUAUUUGUUGGCAAAGAGUGGAUCAAAAGUUUACGUAAGGUGGUAUUCAGAUUCUUUAACACAGACAUGGUGGGCCUGUUCAUCUCCCUGAGGUUGCUGAGUUGUCUGUGCAGAGCUGCCAGUCAUGACACAAGGCAUUUGGGUGAGCUGUUCAUCUGCAGAGUGGCAGCUGGAGGCCUGCAGGGAUACCAUAUGGUGCCUAUAAUGGCACUGCUCGCACUUUAAAGCAGUGAGAGGUUAGAAAACAGUGACAUAGCCUGCUUGUCUGUGCCUGUAUUAGCAGGUGGCAUGGAAUGAGGAGUGCAGCUCCCAGUGUAUACCUUACAAGUAUUUUGAUGAUUCAUUUCAGAUGAGAUCCAAUCUUGUCACAUGGGCUGGUCUUGCAUUAGCAGCUGCUAUAUGUUCCUGCACCAGAUCUGCUGUUUCAGCGUUGAAUGGAGCUCUGUUCACCAGGACUUGUACACAGUGCAAAGCAAAGCCUGGUGUCAGUUAAGCGAGUGUGCCUCUCCCUGUAGGGCCUACCAAAAGACUUCUGAUGUCUGCAGCAGCACUGGGCUUUCAGGGUGGCAACUGGAGUCAAUAAGAAUUAUGCUCAGAAUAAAGAAAGUGUCCUAUGAUACAGAAGGUGUACCACAAUGUGGACUGAAGGAAAUUCAAAUAUUUUGAGGAAAAGAAUCACUGAAGUGGCCUGAAAGCUGAAACAUCCUGUCAUUACCAACCCACUGAAGCAGUUUGAGAUCACAGUCAAAAAGACCCUGAUACUCCCAGGUGUGUGCGUAUUCUGGAAGCCUUGGGAUAGACAAAGUACACAUUCACAUCCUGCUGCUCUUGCACUUGUAUAUUCUUUCAUA